CCUACGGGAGGCAGCAGUGGGGAAUAUUGCACAAUGGGGGAAACCCUGAUGCAGCGACGCCGCGUGAGCGAGGAAGUACCUCGGUAUGUAAAGCUCUGUCAGCAGGGAAGAAAAUGACAGUACCUGACUAAGAAGCCCCGGCUAACUACGUGCCAGCAGCCGCGGUAAUACGUAGGGGGCAAGCGUUAUCCGGAUUUACUGGGUGUAAAGGGAGCGUAGGCGGCGAUGCAAGUCAGAAGUGAAAGCCCGGGGCUCAACUCCGGGACUGCUUUUGAAACUGUAUGGCUAGAUUGCA
rnacentral:rRNA from 1 species